AUGCGUGCCCCACCCAAUGCAUCACCACUCUCGGACACUUAUUUCCUCCCAAAUGACAGAGCGACGAUCCUGGAGCAAAUGGAUGUUGACAACCAGGUUGCAAAAUUGAUGGUAGAGCUUUUCCGUAGUCAAGACUAUGAAAUUGGGGAUGGUACUACUGGGGUGGUGGUCCUGGCAGGGUCGCUCCUGGAGCAAGCUGAGAAACUGCUAGAGCGUGGUAUUUAUCAAGUAAGAAUCACCGAAGGAUAUGAGAUGGCUUCCAAGAUAGCUUUUGAUCACCUUGAACAUAUCUCCACUAGGUUUGAGUUCACUGCUACAAAUAUAGAGCCCUUGGUGCAGACCUGCAUGACAACUCUGUCCUCAAAGAUUGUUAACCGUUGUAAGUGGAUGCUUGCUGAGAUUGCUGUCAGGGAAGUCUUUGCUAUUGCUGAUUUGGAAAGGAAGGACGUAAACUUGGACUUGAUUAAAGUAGAAGAUAAAGUUGGUGGGAAGCUAGAGGACACUGAGCGAAUAUAUAGAAUUGCUAUUGAUAAAGAUAUGAGACACCCACAAAUGCCAAAGAGAAUCGAGGAUGCUAAUAUUGCCAUCCUUACCUGCCCAUUUCAGCCCCCAAAGCCCAAGACUAAGCAUAAGGUUGACAUUGACACCGUAGAAAAUUCCAGACGAUGCAUGGACAAGACCAAUCAUUUGCUCAUGCAAAAAAAUCUGCCCGCUGUCAGAUGGGUUGGUGGUGUUGAAUUGGAAUUGAUUGCCAUAGCUACAUGCAGGGGACACGAUGUUUUACCCAGGUUCGGGCCCUCUCGGGUUGUGUUCCUCGCCCACUUCAUCUACGGACUGGGAUUCCCCCUCCACCCAUUUGUCCGCGGGCUUCCUCCUCCCACCACCGAGGACCGCAGAUUUAGCACCAAGCGCCACGCCAAUUCGGUAAGCAUUCUACAUUUCUCAAGAUGUGCCUUUCCUCAGUAUAUUCAUGGGAGGAACUUAAGCCACCGUACUGAUUUAACAGGAUUAUGUGGCGACGGCAGAGCGGAUCGACUGUCCGGUUCCCAAGAGCUCCAGGAUUUCAUCAAAAAAUUCGAGUCCUUGGAGCGUGACUCCAAGACGCAAGAGUCGGAGCUUGCGAAGGCCUGUCAGAGCAUGCAAGAUGCCAAGGUUGCAAUGUUUAGAGCUAUCAAACAACAUGUUAUAGGAACUUAUCAUGGCAAACAAAGGCAUGGCAUGAAUCUACUAAAUUCAUAG
rnacentral:rRNA from 1 species